CACUUUCAGUCGUGAGGAAGGUAGUGUAGUUAAUUAGCUGCAUUAUUUGACGUUAGCGACAGAAGAAGUACCGGCUAACUCCGUGCCAGCAGCCGCGGUAAUACGGAGGGUGCGAGCGUUAAUCGGAAUUACUGGGCGUAAAGCGCAUGCAGGUGGUUUGUUAAGUUCAGAUGUGAAAGACCCGGGGCGUCAACCUCGGAAUAGCAUUUGAAACUAGGCAGACUAGAGUACUGUAGAGGGGGGUAGGAAGUUUCAGGUGUAGCGGUGAAAUGCGUAGAGAUCUGAAGGAAUACCGGUGGCGAAGGCGGCCCCCUCGGACAGAUACUGACACUCAGAUGCGAAAGCGUGGGGAGCAAACAGGAUUAGAUACCCUGGUAG
rnacentral:rRNA from 1 species